rnacentral:misc_RNA from 1 species
GGAAGGAUCAUUGAAUUAUCAAUACCACAACGUGAACCUAUUGUCCAUGCCUCUAUACCUGCCUUUCAUUAGGCAGCCAAAGCUUAGGCUUUGGUGGUGUAGACCGGUGUGUCCCCUCCACAACGCUUUAUGCGCAAAACCAAAAUCUGAAGUUAUGAUUGCCAAGACUUUGGCAAUUCCAACCAAGACAACUCUCAACAACGGAUAUCUUGGCUCUCGCAACGAUGAAGAACGCAGCGAAAUGCGAUACGUAGUGUGAAUUGCAGAAUUCCGUGAACCAUCGAAUCUUUGAACGCAUAUUGCGCUCGAGGCUCCGGCCAAGAGCAUGUCUGCCUCAGCGUCGGUUGUGAACAAUCACUCUCUAUCCCGAGGGGUAGCGUGCGGUGGGUCGAGACUCACUGCUAUGAGUGGAUCUGGCUUCCCCAGCUUUGUACUGGGUUGGCUGAAGCGCAGAGGCUAGCACAAGGACCCGUAUGGGUAACAACUGGAUAGGUAGAACCGGCUUUGGCCAACUACUCAAAGUUGUUACUUGUGGACUUUGUUGGCGGCCAUCAGGAUCAUAACCAACUUUCGACCUGAGCUCAGGCAAGAUUACCCGCUGAACUUAAGCAUAUCAAUAAGCGGAGGAAAAGAAACUAACAAGGAUUGCCCUAGUAACGGCGAGCGAAACGGCAACAGCCCAACUUGAAAAUCUCCCUUUGGAGAAUUGUAGUCUAUAGAAGCACCUUCUGCAACAGGCGGAACCCAAGUCUCCUGGAAAGGGGCGUCAGAGAGGGUGAGAACCCCGUCGGUUCCUGCUGCGUUGCCAGAUGAGAUGCUUUCAAAGAGUCGGGUUGCUUGGGAAUGCAGCCCUAAUUUGGUGGUAAAUCCCAUCUAAGGCUAAAUACCGGCGAGAGACCGAUAGCGAACAAGUACCGUGAGGGAAAGAUGAAAAGAACUUUGAAAAGAGAGUUAAAAAGUGCUUGAAAUUGUUGAGGGGGAAGCGUUUGAAUGCUCGGGUGCGCUUAGGCUUAUGUAGUCUUAACGGGCUGCUGUAUGUGCUAAGUGCUGGCCAGCAUGGGUUGGACUGGUAGGAUAAACGCUGGUGUUGUUAACUGGUCUAUACUACCGGUCCGACCAAGGCAUGAAGACUGCCCUUGUCCUUCGGGAACUGCAGUCUCAAGAUGCUGGCGGAAAGCUUUCAACCGACCCGUCUUGAAACACGGACCAAGGAGUCUAACAUGUAUGCGAGCUGGUGGGUGGAAAACCCAUGAAGCGCAAGGAAACUGACUGGUGGGAUGGCCUGUGCCUGCACCAUCGACCGACCAUGAGCUUCUGCGAAAGGUUUGAGUACGAGCAUACCUGUUGGGACCCGAAAGAUGGUGAACUAUGCCUGAGCAGGGCGAAGCCAGAGGAAACUCUGGUGGAGGCUCGUAGAUGUGCUGACGUGCAAAUCGCUUUUCGGACUUGGGUAUAGGGGCGAAAGACUAAUCGAACCAUCUAGUAGCUGGUUUCCUC